CCUACGGGUGGCAGCAGUGAGGAAUAUUGGUCAAUGGGCGUAAGCCUGAACCAGCCAAGUCGCGUGAGGGAUGAAGGUUCUAUGGAUCGUAAACCUCUUUUAUAAGGGAAUAAAGUGUGGGACGUGUCCUAUAUUGUAUGUACCUUAUGAAUAAGGAUCGGCUAACUCCGUGCCAGCAGCCGCGGUAAUACGGAGGUUCCGAGCGUUAUCCGGAUUUAUUGGGUUUAAAGGGUGCGUAGGCGGCCUUUUAAGUCAGCGGUGAAAGUCUGUGGCUCAACCAGAGAAUUGCCGUUGAAACUGGGGGGCUUGAGUAUAUAUGAGGCAGGCGGAAUGCGAGGUGUAGCGGUGAAAUGCUUAGAUAUCACGCAGAACCCCAAUUGCGAAGGCAGCCUGCUGAGCCAUGACUGACGCUGAUGCACGAAAGCGUGGGGAUCAAACAGGAUUAGAUACCCUUGUAGUC
rnacentral:rRNA from 1 species